AUGCUGGUGUGGCUGCGACCAGGAGCAGGCGACCGCGCGCAUGAACGCAGUGCUCCGACCAUGGCGGCCUCGGUGAUUGUAGGCGAUUACGGUGAUGGAUCAAUCCAGAAAAACGGGGGAAUCGGCAGAGGACCUCACAAUGUGGCGGUAGGAUUGGCAGCGGGCUCGGGGAGGCCAUCGGCGAGCAGAUCGACGAGGUGGACGACGACGGCCGUGGUUGGGGAAGAAGGCCGAUGGCGACGGCUCGAGGCGCUCCGGCUUGACCUGACGCUUGUAGACGGUGUAGAAGAGGACGGCGGUGCUCCUCGACUUCCUCUCGAGCGCCGGGGAGGCAUGUGGCCAUGA
rnacentral:rRNA from 1 species